GGGGAGAUGACUCAGUGUGGAGCAUCUGCUUGGCAUGCAGACAGUCCCAGGUUCAAUCUCUGGUAUCUCCA
rnacentral:tRNA from 1 species